rnacentral:rRNA from 1 species
CAAUAGCGUAUAUUAAAGUUGUUGCAGUUAAAAAGCUCGUAGUUGGAUUUCUGGUAGGAGCGACCGUGCCGAACUUGAUUGUUCGAGUAUUGUGUUGUCUCCAGCCAUCCUCGUGGAGAACUUUUCUAACAUUAACUUGUUGGGAUUGGGACCCGCGUCGUUUACUGUGAAAAAAUUAGAGUGUUUAAAGCAGGCAUUAGCUUGAAUACAUUAGCAUGGAAUAAUAAGAUAGGACUUUGGUACUAUUUUGUUGGUUUGCAUACCAAAUUAAUGAUCAACAGGAACAGUUUGAGGAUAUUCGUAUGAACAUGUCAGAGGUGAAAUUCUUGGAUUUUGAUCAGACGAACUACUGCGAAAGCAUUUAUCAAGGAUGUUUUCAUUAA